UCUAACAUGUGCGCGAGUCAUUGGGACUCUAAAACCUAAAGGCGCAAUGAAAGUGAAGGUCGUACUAAGGUCGACCGAGGGAGGAUGGGCCGCGUUUACGCGCGGCUCCGCACUCCCGGGGCGUCUCGUUCUCAUUGCGAGAAGAGGCGCACCCAGAGCGUACACGUUGGGACCCGAAAGAUGGUGAACUAUGCCUGGUCAGGACGAAGUCAGGGGAAACCCUGAUGGAGGUCCG
rnacentral:rRNA from 1 species